AGUUGAUUUGGGGUGGUACUAUGUUUGAAGAUACGCAUAGUACGUUCCGAAUCAACUUG
rnacentral:pre_miRNA from 1 species